rnacentral:rRNA from 1 species
AGCCGAGCGGUAUAGAAUCUUCGGAUUCUAGAGAGCGGCGUACGGGUGCGUAACACGUGUGCAACCUACCUUUAUCUGGGGGAUAGCCUUUCGAAAGGAAGAUUAAUACCCCAUAAUAUAAUGAUUGGCAUCAAUUAUUAUUGAAAACUCCGGUGGAUAGAGAUGGGCACGCGCAAGAUUAGAUAGUUGGUGAGGUAACGGCUCACCAAGUCAAUGAUCUUUAGGGGGCCUGAGAGGGUGAUCCCCCACACUGGUACUGAGACACGGACCAGACUCCUACGGGAGGCAGCAGUGAGGAAUAUUGGACAAUGGGUGAGAGCCUGAUCCAGCCAUCCCGCGUGAAGGAUGACGGCCCUACGGGUUGUAAACUUCUUUUAUAUAGGAAUAAACCUAGAUACGUGUAUCUAGCUGAAGGUACUAUAUGAAUAAGCACCGGCUAACUCCGUGCCAGCAGCCGCGGUAAUACGGAGGGUGCGAGCGUUAUCCGGAUUUAUUGGGUUUAAAGGGUCCGUAGGCGGACCUGUAAGUCAGUGGUGAAAUCUCAUAGCUUAACUAUGAAACUGCCAUUGAUACUGCAGGUCUUGAGUGAAUUUGAGGUAGCUGGAAUAAGUAGUGUAGCGGUGAAAUGCAUAGAUAUUACUUAGAACACCAAUUGCGAAGGCAGGUUACCAAGAUUCAACUGACGC